rfam:Triticum aestivum genome assembly, contig: Triticum_aestivum_CS42_TGACv1_scaffold_576964_7BL
GUACUACUCCCUCCGUUCGGAAUAACUUGUCCAAAAAAUAAUGUAUCUAGAUGUAUUUUAGUUGUAGAUACAUUUAUUUUUAUCUAUUUUUGUGACAAGUAAUUCCCAACUGAGUGAGUAUAUG